rnacentral:rRNA from 1 species
GACGAACGCUGGCGGCGUGCCUAAUACAUGCAAGUCGAGCGAACAGAUGAAGAAGCUUGCUUCUUCUGACGUUAGCGGCGGACGGGUGAGUAACACGUGGGCAACCUACCCUAUAGUUUGGGAUAACUCCGGGAAACCGGGGCUAAUACCGAAUGAUACAUCGCAUCUCAUGUUGCGAUGUUGAAAGAUGGUUCUGCUAUCGCUAUAGGAUGGGCCCGCGGCGCAUUAGCUAGUUGGUGAGGUAACGGCUCACCAAGGCGACGAUGCGUAGCCGACCUGAGAGGGUGAUCGGCCACACUGGGACUGAGACACGGCCCAGACUCCUACGGGAGGCAGCAGUAGGGAAUCUUCCACAAUGGGCGAAAGCCUGAUGGAGCAACGCCGCGUGAGUGAAGAAGGAUUUCGGUUCGUAAAACUCUGUUGUAAGGGAAGAACAAGUACAGUAGUAACUGGCUGUACCUUGACGGUACCUUAUUAGAAAGCCACGGCUAACUACGUGCCAGCAGCCGCGGUAAGAC